GAUGAACGCUAGCGGGAGGCCUAACACAUGCAAGCCGAGCGGUAUUGUUUCUUCGGAAAUGAGAGAGCGGCGUACGGGUGCGUAACACGUGUGCAACCUGCCUUUAUCUGGGGGAUAGCCUUUCGAAAGGAAGAUUAAUACUCCAUAAUAUAUUGAACGGCAUCGUUUAAUAUUGAAAGCUCCGGCGGAUAGAGAUGGGCACGCGCAAGAUUAGCUAGUUGGUGAGGUAACGGCUCACCAAGGCGAUGAUCUUUAGGGGGCCUGAGAGGGUGAUCCCCCACACUGGGACUGAAGCACGGACCAGACUCCUACGGGAGGCAGCAGUGAGGAAUAUUGGUCAAUGGGUGCAAGCCUGAACCAGCCAUCCCGCGUGAAGGACGACUGCCCUAUGGGUUGUAAACUUCUUUUGUAUAGGGAUAAACCUACCCUCGUGAGGGUAGCUGAAGGUACUAUACGAAUAAGCACCGGCUAACUCCGUGCCAGCCGCCGCAGUAA
rnacentral:rRNA from 1 species